rnacentral:rRNA from 1 species
GACGAACGCUGGCGGCGUGCUUAACACAUGCAAGUCGAACGGAAAGGCCCUGCUUUUGUGGGGUGCUCGAGUGGCGAACGGGUGAGUACACGUGAGUAACCUGCCCUUGACUUUGGGAUAACUUCAGGAAACUGGGGCUAAUACCGGAUAGGAGCUCCUGCUGCAUGGUGGGGGUUGGAAAGUUUCGGCGGUUGGGGAUGGACUCGCGGCUUAUCGGCUUGUUGGUGGGGUAGUGGCUUACCAAGGCUUUGACGGGUAGCCGGCCUGAGAGGGUGACCGGCCACAUUGGGACUGAGAUACGGCCCAGACUCCUACGGGAGGCAGCAGUGGGGAAUAUUGCACAAUGGGCGGAAGCCUGAUGCAGCAACGCCGCGUGCGGGAUGACGGCCUUCGGGUUGUAAACCGCUUUCGCCUGUGACGAAGCGUGAGUGACGGUAAUGGGUAAAGAAGCACCGGCUAACUACGUG